rnacentral:rRNA from 1 species
UACGGAGGAUCCGAGCGUUAUCCGGAUUUAUUGGGUUUAAAGGGUGCGUAGGCGGCCUUUUAAGUCAGCGGUGAAAGUCUGUGGCUCAACCAUAGAAUUGCCGUUGAAACUGGGGAUCUAGAGUGUGCGAGAGGUAUGCGGAAUGCGUGGUGUAGCGGUGAAAUGCUUAGAUAUCACGAAGAACUCCGAUUGCGAAGGCAGCUCACUGGACUGCAACUGACACUGAGGCUCGAAAGUGUGGGUAUCAAACAGG